UACGAAGGGGGCUAUCGUUGCUCGGAAUUACUGGGCGUAAAGCGCACGUAGGCGGUCUUUUAAGUCGGGGGUGAAAUCCUGGAGCUCAACUCCAGAACUGCCUUCGAUACUGAAGGACUUGAGUCCGGGAGAGGUGAGUGGAACUGCGAGUGUAGAGGUGAAAUUCGUAGAUAUUCGCAAGAACACCAGUGGCGAAGGCGGCUCACUGGCCCGGUACUGACGCUGAGGUGCGAAAGCGUGGGGAGCAAACAGG
rnacentral:rRNA from 1 species